CCCCUAGAUGUGACCACGUGCACUCACCUGAGGGCGAGCUCGACUGAUUCCUAUGACGCCAAGGUUGUGCAUGAAAACAAUCUGUAUUUAUGCUCCCAGUGGAUGAGAUGUGUCUCUAAAUGUGAACUAUUGGUUACACAAAUGGCACAGAUCUGGAUAUUUCAGAACACAUUGUAUGGCAGUGAUCACUGAUUGGCUGUGUGGCCGGUUGCUUCAUCUAUAUCGAGGAGAAAAGCUUGGUGUGAUGGAGGCCAAGAGGAGGAGCUGCAACAAUGUGAGUGGAGCAGAUAUGGUUCAAACAUGCAUAUACGGGAGAAAGAAGGUGCUCAUGGGACUCGCUGCAAUGUCAAGGUCAGAAUCUCCUGCUCCUCGCACAAUUUUUUUUGCUAACUAUUCUUCCAACUGCCGAACGAAAGACAGUGGGCUCUCUAAUUAUUUCUGAAUCAACCAAAUGGAUCUGGCCAUCUGGGCACUGCCAGUGCAUUCUUCUCUCCCUGCAUGGAAGCCAAAAUCAUUGGAAAUUAUCCUUUGGCGUUUGGCACAGAUUGCCUGGCUACUGCUCACCAUCUGCAGCGAUACCUCAUUCCAGCUAGCCACUUAUCAUGAGCUUCUAUUGCACAAAGAUCUGCAGAUGGAUUUUGCUUGUUCUUCUUCAGUCUCUACGCUAUGGAGUGUCAAAACGUAUCUUGGAGAUUAUCAGCUUAAGGAAUUUAUUAACUCCAGUCCUCAUUAAAUUGCGACUUGGAUAACCCAGUUUAAAGGUUCACUUCCAAUCAUUCUCUUCAAUUCUUAUCCUUUUCCUUCCAAAGAUUGAAGAAGCCAUUUUCUUAUCCUUUCAAUCUCAUGCUCCUUAUAGAUGGAUCAGGUAGUAAGUUGGUCAAUAUAUUUGAGGGUUGCAGCAGGCACAAAACAAUUUGGUGGUUAGCUUUCAUAUUUUUUCCUAAAUAAUCAAUUUAACAUCUUUCAUCUGAUUAUACUAUCUUUUCUGCUUUCUUGGUGUGUGUAUUGUUAGAAGUAAAAACUUGCUUAUAUACUUGCACUAACUUUGGACAUGAUUAUACUAUCUCAUAACUUGUUGACUCUAGAGCUUUCUCUGUAAAUUAGUUACGUAUUUGACUGGCCUAACAAUUCUUGGAUAUUCUUUGGACAUGGGAAGGGGUAUAUUAAUUUGGCCGAUGAGCAUUUAUAGAAGUUGAUAUACAGUGGCCAGCUUGAUCAAAAGGAACUGGACAGUAUGCAAAAAAAUCAUUCCUGCUGUCAGAGCUUGCACGAAAGCGAGGCCACAAAUGCAGUUCUUCUGUAAGACACUCAUUGCGAGUGAUGCAAGCACACAUGGAGGCUCCUCUGUGCCUUGCCGUGCUGCGGAGAAGAUAUCCCUGCCCUGGUAAGCAGGCAUGAGGUUUCCAAGUCUUUUACGCAAUAAAAAUUGUUUAUUGCAUGAGGAUUAAGAAAAAGGAUCGUAACUAUACCUGUAUCCAUAGCCUAUCAUGUAUUAUCAUGUAACAUCUCAACUGAUCUUUCUAUGACGUUGAAGUUUAUUGCAAGUUUUGUACCUAUUUGUCAACAAUUCAAGCAGCGGUGUUGUAGAAAAUGGUCCGCAACCUGCAUUACAUACACCUUGUGCUACAAAAUAUUCUAAAUUAUUCUAGUAUUUCCCUGAAUAUCACUAAAAUAGAUCGUCUCCUUGGUUUCUAGAAUUUAGCUAUAGGGUAUAAAACUUGCAUUAUCUGAGGUACUAUUUUCCACAUAACUAGAUUGUGACUUUGGUAGUUAAAUUAUCUUGGUACAUUUUCCCUUGAUUUUGUUCUGGAAUCAAGUUUAGAAGUUUUCAAGCAGUCUAGCUGCUGCCAUGUGCUUUAUUGCUUUGGAUUUUCACUCAGCCUGUAUACGAAUUUGCUUCUGGUGACCCCUUGCGAUUUAAAAGAUCUGUGGGCCAUAAGGAUCUCUUCUAUAUCUUGGACACGGUUAAAGAGUACACAUUCCCUUUUUUGGUCACUCGAGGAAAAUUGCCUGAUAUUAAUAUUAUCAAGAUGAGUAACGAGGGAUUUGUUUUUUUAGAAUUAUGGUAUGAGUUUCUGUUAACUCUGUUUUUUAUCUUUCGCAAGUGCUUUUAUAAGCUUAUCCUAGGUUCAAUAUUCAUACUUAGUCUAGCAGUAAUGCUAAUUUCGGCGAACUUCUUUUAUCCUCUUGCCACUGCCACUUAGGAACGUUAUACUGCUCUAUUAUGACUGAUUGCAUAUUUGAACUGGUUCGAAUUUGACACUUUCUUCGAAACAAACUUACAGUUUUUGUAGGUUAUGUGAAUUGUUAUGUCAAAGAAAAUAUAUCUCUGUUAAUUGCAUAGUUAAAGCUUAUUUCAUUGUGAUAACCUGAAUUAAGAGGCAAUGCGAAGAAACGGGAGUUUGGCUGUUAGAGAAAGAAAGGUGGAUACCAUGUUCUGAAUGCGAGCGAGCUGUUGCAGAAACAAAGGUGGAUACCAUGUUCUGAACGCAGGUGGGCUCUUAGUGCAACAAUGUUAAAGGCUUCAAGGAAAUGGAAUUUCUGAUGCAAUCAUGUUUAAUGAAUAUAUAUUUCUAAAUUUACAUGUAUUCCUUGCUCUGAAUCUGCAUGUAUUCCUUGCUCCUUUGUAGGAGUUUUUUUUGUUUCUUUUUUGUGCAAAGCUUGCUGCACCUCCCUCUUGUCCUGAUCAUGUAUUUUUUUUGUCUUGAUUAACCCAAGGUACAUGAUGAUUGUUAUUGAUGUUUGUUACUAAUUUCUAUUAAGAUAUGAUUCCCAUCA